AUUGAACGCUGGCGGCAUGCUUUACACAUGCAAGUCGAACGGCAGCACGGGGGCAACCCUGGUGGCGAGUGGCGAACGGGUGAGUAAUGCAUCGGAACGUGCCCCGUCGUGGGGGAUAACACAUCGAAAGAUGUGCUAAUACCGCAUACGACCUGAGGGUGAAAGCGGGGGACCGCAAGGCCUCGCGCGAUGGGAGCGGCCGAUGUCUGAUUAGCUAGUUGGUGGGGUAAAGGCCUACCAAGGCGACGAUCAGUAGCGGGUCUGAGAGGACGACCAGCCACACUGGGACUGAGACACGGCCGAGACUCCUACGGGAGGCAGCAGUGGGGAAUUUUGGACAAUGGGGGCAACCCUGAUGCAGCCAUGCCGCGUGAGUGAAGAAGGCCUUCGGGUUGUAAAGCUCUUUCGGCCGGGAAGAAAUCGCACGGGCUAAUACCCUGUGUGGAUGACGGUACCGGAAUAAGAAGCACCGGCUAACUACGUGCCAGCAGCCGCCGUAAGAC
rnacentral:rRNA from 1 species